GUCCACGCCCUAAACGUUGAUUACUCGUUGUUGGCGAUAUACAGUCAGCGACCAAGCUAAAGCGUUAAGUAAUCCACCUGGGAAGUACGACCGCAAGGUUGAAACUCAAAGGAAUUGAUGGGGGCCCGCACAAGUGGAGGAGCAUGUGGUUUAAUUCGAUGAUACGCGAGGAACCUUACCUGGGGCUUGAAAGUUAGUGACGUUCUGUGAAAGCAGAAUUCCCUUCGGGGCACAAACUAGGUGCUGCAUGGCUGUCGU
rnacentral:rRNA from 1 species